rnacentral:lncRNA from 1 species
AUGCCGCCCUCCUGCGCGCUCGCAGCGCGCCCCCCCCGGAGCUGUUCCGCUGGCUGGCCGAGAGACCUGUUUUUUUCCCCGGAGUCAGGUCGAAGGGCCCCGGCUCCUUCGCUUUGGCGUUGGCGGUGGCGCUGGGCACCUGGCACUCAGAAAAGCCCCGGGGCCCGGCGGGCGGCGCCGGGUGCCGCGGAGCGGAGGCGGCGGCGGGCCCCACCCUCGCCAGGGCCGGGCGUGCGGGCUGGCUGGUGCCGGGGGCGUGGACGCAGGUUCGGGAGGACGCGGCAGCUGGCCCGGGACCUAGGGGCUGCGGCCAUGACCUCGCCAUGGAGAGAGGUGCUCCUGGAGAGCCUCCUGGGAUAUGUUUCUUGGUCUCUCUGCCAUGACCUGAGCCCAAUGAUCUAUUACUUUCCCCUGCAAACACUAGGACUCACUGGGUUGGAAGGUUUUGCCGUAGCAUUUCUUUCUCCAUUAUUCCUCACAAUUACUCCUGUCUGGAAACUGGUUAAUAAGAAGUGGAUGCUAGCCUUGCUGCGGAUAAUUACUGUUGGUAGCAUCGCCUCCUUCCAGGCUCCAAAUGCCAAACUUCGGCUCAUGAUCCUUGCACUUGGUCUGUCUUCGUCACUGGUGGUGCAUGCUGUGACGUGGUGGACAGGAAGAGGCUUGCAAAGGUACUUCAGAAUCUGGGGAUUCAUUUUAGGACAGAUUCUUCUUCUUGUUCUCCGCAUUUGGUACACGUCACUAAACCCAGUCUGGACUUAUCAGAUGUCCAACAGAGUGAUACUGACAUUAAGUACUAUUGCCACACUUGAUCGUAUUUACACAGAUGGUGCCUGCUAUAAACCUCAGCAGAAGAAGAAUGGUAAGGCAGCCAAGGCAGUGGUUUCUGGUCUGAACUGGUUGUUGGCAGGCGCUGCCUUUGGCAGCCUCAUGUUCCUCACCCACUGGAUUUUUGGAGAGGUGUCUCUUGUCUCCAGAUGGGCAGUGAGUGGACACCCCCAUCCAGGGCCAGAUCCGAACCCAUUUGGAGGUGCAGUUCUGCUGGGCUUGGCAAGUGGAUUGAUGCUCUCGCCUUGUUCAUGGUUUCCGGGUUCCGGUUUAAUCUGGUGGAUUACAGGAGCGACCUCGGCAGCAGGACUCCUUUACCUGCCCACGUGGGCAGCCGCUGUGUCUGGCUGUGUGCUUGCUCUCUUCACGGCAUCCAUGUGGCCUCAAGUGCUUGGACACCUUAUUAGCUCAGGCUCAAGCCCUGGAAAAGCCAUGACCACUGCCAUGAUAUUUUAUAUUCUAGAAGUAUUUUUCUGUGCCUGGUGCACAGCUUUUAAAUUUGUCCCAGGAGGUGUGUAUGCUCGAGAAAGAUCUGAUGUGCUUUUGGGGACUGUGAUGCUAAUUAUUGGGCUGAAUAUGCUAUUGGGUCCGAAGAAAAGCGUUGAUUUUCAUUUUCAAACAAAAAACAGUCCUAAAGCGCUUUUCAGAGAGAGUGAAAAAUACGUGAAACUUUUUUUGUGGCUGCUUGUUGGUGUGGGAUUGUUGGGAUUAGGACUACGGCAUAAAACCUAUGAGAAGAAAUUGGGCAAAGGGGCACCAGCCACAGAGGUCUCUGCUGCCAUCUGGCCUUUCAGGUUUGGCUUUGACAAUGAUGGAUGGUCUAGUCUAGAAAGAUCAGCUCAACUGCUCAAUCAAACAGGUGCAGAUUUCAUAACAAUUUUGGAGAGUGAUGCUUCUAAGCCCUAUAUUGGAAACAACGACUUGACCAUGUGGUUAGGGGAGAAGCUGGGUUUCUACACCGACUUUGGGCCGAGUGCACGGGAUCACACUUGGGGGAUUAUGGCUUUGUCAAGAUACCCAAUUGUGAAAUCGGAGCAUCACCUUCUUCCGUCGCCAGAGGGCGAGAUUGCACCAGCCAUCACGCUGACCGUCAACGUUUCCAACAAAUUGGUGGAUUUUGUUGUGACCCACUUUGGCAAUUACGAAGAUGACCUCGACAGGAAACUUCAAGCUAUUGCUGUUUCAAAACUACUGAAAAAUAGCUCUGAGCAAGUGAUAUUUCUGGGAUAUAUCACAUCAGCACCUGGUUCCAGAGAUUAUCUACAGCUCAUUAAACAUGGCAAUGUGAAGGAUAUUGACAGCACAGAUCAAGACAGAUGGUGUGAAUACAUUAUGUAUCGAGGGCUGAUCAGAUUGGGUUACGCAAGAAUCUCCCACGCUGAACUGAGUGACUCUGAAAUUCAGGUAGCCAAAUUUAGGAUUCCUGAUGACCCAAUUAAUUAUAGAGACAACCAGAAAGUGGUCACAGACCAUAGGGAAGUUCCAGAGAAAAUUCACUUCAAUCCCAGAUUUGGAUCCUACAAAGAGGGGCACAACUUUGAGAACAAUCAUCAUUUUCAUAUGAGUACUCCCAAAUACUUUCUAUAA